CUACGGAGGGUGCAAGCGUUACUCGGAAUCACUGGGCGUAAAGCGCGCGCAGGCGGCUAUUUAAGUUGGAUGUGAAAGCCUACGGCUCAACCGUAGAACUGCAUCCAAAACUAUUUAGCUAGAGUGUGGGAGAGGAAGAUGGAAUUAGUUGUGUAGGGGUAAAAUCCGUAGAGAUAACUAGGAAUACCAAAAGCGAAGGCAAUCUUCUGGAACACUACUGACGCUGAGGCGCGAAAGCGUGGGUAGCAAACAGGAUUAGAUACCCUAGUAGUCC
rnacentral:rRNA from 1 species